GGCUCAGAAUGAACGCUGGCGGCGUGCCUAACACAUGCAAGUCGGAUGUGCCGCAAGGUGCAUGGCAGACGGGUGAGUAACGCGUGGGCAAUCUACCUUUUAGUGGGGAAUAACGUUCCGAAAGGAAUGGUAAUACCGCAUGUGAUCACAGACUGGGAUGUUUGUGAUGAAAGCCGGGGACCGCAAGGCCUGGCGCUAGAAGAGGAGCCCGCGUCUGAUUAGUUAGUUGGUGGGGUAAUGGCCUACCAAGACAUCGAUCAGUAGCCGGCCUGAGAGGGUGAUCGGCCACACUGGAACUGAGACACGGUCCAGACUCCUACGGGAGGCAGCAGUGGGGAAUUUUGCGCAAUGGACGAAAGUCUGACGCAGCAACGCCGCGUGGGUGAUGAAGGUCUUCGGAUCGUAAAACCCUGUCGUCGGGGACGAAGGUGGGCUUGUUAAUAGCGAGUUUACUUGACGGUACCCGGAGAGGAAGCCCCGGCUAACUCUGUGCCAGCAGCCGCGGUAAUACAGAGGGGGCAAGCGUUAUUCGGAAUUAUUGGGCGUAAAGGGCGCGUAGGCGGUUUUUUAAGUAGGAUGUGUAAUCCCCGGGCUUAACCUGGGAACUGCAUCCUAGACUGGAAGACUUGAGUACUGGAGAGGGUGGUAGAAUUCCACGUGUAGCGGUGAAAUGCGUAGAGAUGUGGAGGAAUACCAGUGGCGAAGGCGGCCACCUGGACAGUAACUGACGCUGAGGCGCGAAAGUGUGGGUAGCAAACAGGAUUAGAUACCCUGGUAGUCCACGCUGUAAACGAUGAACACUUGGUGUGGUGGGAGUUGACCCCUGCCGUGCCGGAGCUAACGCGUUAAGUGUUCCGCCUGGGGAGUACGGUCGCAAGGCUGAAAC
rnacentral:rRNA from 1 species